rnacentral:tRNA from 1 species
GGGAGUAGCUCAGUGGCAGAGCAUCAGCUUCCCAAGCUGAAGGUCGCGGGUUCGAUCCCCGUCUCCC